GGAAUCAACGCUGGCGUCGUGCCUCAGACAUGCAAGUCGAACGCGAAAGUCCCCUUCGGGGGACAAGUAGAGUGGCGCACGGGUGAGUAACACGUAGGUAAUCUACCUUCGGAUGGGGAAUAACAACCGGAAACGGUUGCUAAUACCGCAUAAUGCAGCGGCACCUAAUGGUGACAGUUGUUAAAGCGGGGGAUCGGAAGACCUCGCGUCUGAAGAGGAGCCUGCGGCGGAUUAGCUAGUUGGUAGGUAACGGCCUACCAAGGCGACGAUCCGUA
rnacentral:rRNA from 1 species